UACGGGGGGGGCAAGCGUUGUUCGGAUUCAUUGGGCGUAAAGGGUGCGUAGGCGGCGCGGUAAGUCGGGUGUGAAAUCUUGGAGCUUAACUCCGAAACUGCAUUCGAUACUGCCGUGCUUGAGGACUGGAGAGGAGACUGGAAUUUACGGUGUAGCGGUGAAAUGCGUAGAUAUCGUAAGGAAGACCAGUGGCGAAGGCGGGUCUCUGGACAGUUCCUGACGCUGAGGCACGAAGGUCAGGGGAGCAAACGGG
rnacentral:rRNA from 1 species